UACGUAGGGUGCAAGCGUUGUCCGGAAUUAUUGGGCGUAAAGGGCUCGUAGGCGGUUUGUCGCGUCGGGAGUGAAAUCCACUGGCUUAACUGGUGGCUUGCUUUCGAUACGGGCAGACUAGAGUGCGGUAGGGGUGACUGGAAUUCCUGGUGUAGCGGUGAAAUGCGCAGAUAUCAGGAGGAACACCGGUGGCGAAGGCGGGUCUCUGGGCCGGUACUGACGCUGAGACGCGAAAGCGUGGGGAGCGAACAGG
rnacentral:rRNA from 1 species